UACGUAGGGCGCAAGCGUUGUCCGGAAUUAUUGGGCGUAAAGAGCUCGUAGGCGGUCUGUUGCGUCGGCUGUGAAAACCCGGGGCUCAACCCCGGGCCUGCAGCCGAUACGGGCAGACUAGAGUUCGGCAGGGGAGACUGGAAUUCCUGGUGUAGCGGUGAAAUGCGCAGAUAUCAGGAGGAACACCGGUGGCGAAGGCGGGUCUCUGGGCCGAUACUGACGCUGAGGAGCGAAAGGCGUGGGGAGCGAACAGG
rnacentral:rRNA from 1 species